GGGGAAGGGCUGUAGCUACACAUGCAAGUCGAACGGCAGCACAGAGGAGCUUGCUCCUUGGGUGGCGAGUGGCGGACGGGUGAGGAAUACAUCGGAAUCUACUUUUUCGUGGGGGAUAACGUAGGGAAACUUACGCUAAUACCGCAUACGACCUACGGGUGAAAGCAGGGGACCUUCGGGCCUUGCGCGAUUGAAUGAGCCGAUGUCGGAUUAGCUAGUUGGCGGGGUAAAGGCCCACCAAGGCGACGAUCCGUAGCUGGUCUGAGAGGAUGAUCAGCCACACUGGAACUGAGACACGGUCCAGACUCCUACGGGAGGCAGCAGUGGGGAAUAUUGGACAAUGGGCGCAAGCCUGAUCCAGCCAUACCGCGUGGGUGAAGAAGGCCUUCGGGUUGUAAAGCCCUUUUGUUGGGAAAGAAAUCCAGCCGGCUAAUACCUGGUUGGGAUGACGGUACCCAAAGAAUAAGCACCGGCUAACUUCGUGCCAGCAGCCGCGGUAAUACGAAGGGUGCAAGCGUUACUCGGAAUUACUGGGCGUAAAGCGUGCGUAGGUGGUUGUUUAAGUCUGUUGUGAAAGCCCUGGGCUCAACCUGGGAACUGCAGUGGAAACUGGACAACUAGAGUGUGGGUAGAGGGUAGCGGGAAUUCCCGGUGUAGCAGUGAAAUGCGUAAGAUCGGGAGGAACAUCCAUGGCGAAAGCAGCUACCUUGGACCCACC
rnacentral:rRNA from 1 species